rnacentral:rRNA from 1 species
UACAGAGGUCCCGAGCGUUGUUCGGAUUCACUGGGCGUAAAGGGUGCGUAGGCGGUCGGGUAAGUCUGAUGUGAAAUCUCACAGCUUAACUGUGAAACUGCAUUGGAUACUAUCCGGCUAGAGGAAUGGAGGGGAGACUGGAAUACUUGGUGUAGCAGUGAAAUGCGUAGAUAUCAAGUGGAACACCAGUGGCGAAGGCGAGUCUCUGGACAUUUCCUGACGCUGAGGCACAAAAGCCAGGGGAGCAAACGGG